rnacentral:misc_RNA from 1 species
AACGCACCUUGCGCCCCUUGGUAUUCCGAGGGGCAUGCCUGUUUGAGUGUCUUGAAAUCAUCAAACCGAACCGGUCUUUGUUGCCGGCGCGGUUUGGACUUGGGGGUUCUCUUUGCUGCCGCUCGCGGUGGCUCCCCUUAAAUUGAUCGGUCGGGCUUUCGUGCGGCUCUGUCCCUUGGCGUUGUAUUACCCUCGUCUUGGACGGCUCGCGAUUCAAUGGCCCUUCUUUGACUUGCCUCUGGAGUGGCGGUCUUUGACUUUUGUGAUCUGACCUCAAAUCAGGUAGGACUACCCGCUGAACUUAA